rnacentral:rRNA from 1 species
UACGUAGGGUGCGAGCGUUAAUCGGAAUUACUGGGCGUAAAGCGUGCGUAGUCGGUUAUUUAAGUCGGGCGUGAAAGCCCCGGGCUCAACCUGGGAAUUGCGUUCGAUACUGAAUAGCUAGAGUUCGGCAGAGGGAAGCGGAAUUUCUGGUGUAGCGGUGAAAUGCGUAGAUAUCAGAAGGAACAUCAGUGGCGAAAGCGGCUUCCUGGACCAGAACUGACGAUCAGGCACGAAAGCGUGGGGAGCAAACAGG